rfam:Gossypium hirsutum cultivar TM-1 chromosome 18, whole genome shotgun sequence
CACGUCAGUGCGCUUUCCUGACGUGCACACAAAUCGCACUUUCGUGGACGUGCUUUGUUGCCACGUCAGCAAAGCGCGCUGACGUGG